GUUUCCAUUGUCUUGGUUUUUUACCCUAACUUGUAGAGGUCUAGGUCAGGGGAGAGGAGGGAAGCAUGGAAAACUCUGCCAUUAAAUGGAUUGGUGUUGGCAUUUUUUCUGGAGUUAUUCUAUGAGGAGCUACGGCAGACUAGUGUUUCCCAGGAUGCAGAUGCUGAGCUUGAUUACAGCUAUUACCACAGAAGGUGAACUUGGUUUGUCUCAGUACAAGAGACCUGACAUCAGCUGAGGUUCUCUGAAGAAGAGUAGGACCAGAAUGGAGUUGCCUAGAGAAGUAGAACUGGAGCCAAGUUUGUCCUGAGAUGAGCCUGGAUAACAUUAAGGGGCUCAUAACUUUCUCCAGAAACUUAUCAGGAACCUUAUGUCGCCAUAGUACCGACUCAAUGAUGCAGUUUCUGGAAACACCUGAUGUGAGAAACAUCAAAAGCAAUUUAAAGAGUAUUGCCUCCUGCUCAGACGUUAGUGACACCAUCAGGUGUUCGUACUAUCUGAAGUCAUAAAGACUCCUAUGCCUUCAAUGAACAGAAUCUGUGUUGCAAGUGUCACAGUAACUGUAGGUCUGGCAUCAUGCACUAAGUCAAUAGCACUUGGAAUGCUAGAAUACAAUUAGGGUCAUUAUUUCCCCCCCCCUUAUUAAUAUGAAUCAAAACAAACUUGAGUAAAACAUGCAGGAGGUAUCCUUAGUCCUGCUAUGUGAAGUGCCAUCUUCUAUCACAAACCAUGGUUUGCUGGGAGCAAUUUAUUUUAUGAAGCAUCAGAGAGCCUGUUUGUGGAUUAUCUCCAAUUCCUUUUCCCUCAAAACCAAACCAAACACACAUGCACAAAGCCCAGGCAGAGUAAUAGGUAACGUGCAAGCCAGCUGGAUGGGGAGCAUAAAAGGAAGUCCAGAAAAUGUUUCUAUGCUAAAUUAAGGUAUGUUUUUUAAAUAACAUUUCCCCCCUUUAUUUAGAAAUUCUCUUAGACCAAAUUUUGCUGACUUUGAAAGAAAAGAGCAAGGCUUUCUAUUUGUGUAAGUACUUCAGCAGAAAAGAUGCUUCACAGGGGAAAAAAGAUUGCCAUAGAAAUCAUAAAUCUUUAAGAAACUUCUAUAUUGUACAGUGGUUAGAAUGUUUUAAUAUCACCUGAGAAUCUAUAGGUCUCAUUCUUCCUCCCUCCAGCUUCGCAGGCAAAUUUCCCACCAGUGUCAAAGUGUAAGGAUUUUUUUCCUUUUUCAUAAUGUUGGCUUCACUGAGCCACACUGUAGCAGUUGUAUCUGGCCCCAAAGCUACAAAACUUUAUUUUAAGCAGUGCUUGAUGAAACUAAGGGAUUGCACAUCCUAUUGACCAAGUGUAUUAAUCCCAUACAUAAUUAAUCAUAAAUACCGGUAAUUAAUCCGCAUGGGAAUCCCUCAGUUCUAAUAUCAGUCUAUUCCCCCCCAACAGCUCCAUGGGGUUGGUUGCAGUGCAGUUUUCUCCAGAACCUUUAUUCCUUCAACAUUUUACAGAUGGUGCCAUCAGUGACACAGAACGUUCAGCUCUGGGGAAACUCAGUGCCAUCAUUGGAUCUGUGAGAUCCUCUUUCCAGCUGGAGCUGCACUCAGUUCUGUGAAACAAUGAUUCCAUGCAUUGAGCUGCUGCCCCUCCUAGGGAGCUUGACACUCGGAAUGACUCAAGUCAUCCCUUCACAGAAGGCAACCAGGGCAGAUUUUUGCAGGCAGUAUGGUUCUUAGGUACUUCCUGAACAGAUAGCGGGGAAUUGAUACUGCCUGUUCUGCUCCUGGCAGGCACCAAAUAAUAUCAUAGCAGACAGUCAGUCAGAAAGAGUCAGAUCACCAUGAGUGUCCAUUUUCAAGUACUGUUUUAAAAGAUUUUGUAGCCAUGUAGCUAGGCACAGAGCUCCUACCAUGUGGCUCUGUGAUGGCCAUAUGUUCAGCAAACAAGAAUUACCAUAACUUCCUCAGCAGGACAGCAGCACAUACAAAAGAAACUACAGUCCCCCCCGCCCCCACGACUUACACAAUCAUUCCAUUCCGGAAAGCCUUGAGUAACUCAAAUUUUGUGUAAGACAGAAAUGUAUACCCGUACGUUAUGCAAAAAUUUCCACAACUCGGAAAUCCUAUUUCUGGCUUAUGGAACUUUUUCUGUAAGUGCAAAUUUGUGUAAGUUGGGUCUUGCGUAACCCGGGGAGCGUCUGUACUAAUUUCAGGUGAAUGGCGAAACGCAACUACUGAGUCUGAUAAGCAUUGCCAACCUGGAAAAGAGACAGGUCUUGAUAAAAUCCCAGUCUUGCCAUCAGUGGGAGUAUGGACUACAGGCUCAGGCCUUAUUAUAUGUUCCAGAAUACAGUUCUAGCUGACACCAUUGAGGGGCAGAAACCAUCUGGAAACAGAAUUGAGACACAUGAAGAUGAGCCAAAAAUUUUCUGGAACAUAUGGGGCACAUCAACAGCAGUGACUGUACACAUGUCCAUGCUCGUAUUUGUGCCAUAGCCCCCCUAUUCUCCACACCUAAAUUCCAGAAGCAUGUGUCUGAGGCAAGCAGAGGAUGAGUAAGCUGGCAUGCCUAAGGGGUGUGGAUGCAGGAACUUGUUCAAUGUGGAAGCCAAUAACUAUGCAAGAAAUGAUGCAAGUGCUUCAAGGCCAAUCUCAAAUGUACUGUGCUGUACUACUAAUCAGCAAGAUAGGACAGCAACUUGCUUGUAGACUUAUCUGUUAUGUGGCUCCAAACAUCUGAUGGCAAUACUGCUAACUGAAGAUAACUAGCUGUCAAUUCUCAGAACUGUAACAAGAAAGAUGAUGUCUGUAUGUUUUUAUUUCUACAAGGCACAAAAAAGCUACACAUGGACUGCACUGCAGUGAGCUGAAUAAUUUCAAGCAACUAACUUUUACCACCUGACACCAAAUUCAGAAAACUGAUUUAAAUCAAUUGAAGAAAAGACUCUUGAAGGGAAAUGAGAAGUAUGUUGCAGUGCAAAACCACUGUCAAAAGUUUCUGGAAUACACGGUCUUCAGAAAAAUUUCAAAGAGAAACACUCCACAGUCUCUUACCACUUGGGACAAACAGUUCUGAACUGAAACUGAAUACUGCUUCCUAAAAGUAAUAAUGUAAUACACUGCAUUUUAUAGCACUUUUUGUCUAAGCAUAGUUUGAACAAUAAAUUGAGCUU